rnacentral:rRNA from 1 species
ACGCUGGCGGCACGCCUAACACAUGCAAGUCGAACGAAGUAGCAAUACUUAGUGGCAGACGGGUGAGUAACAUGUAGGUAUCUGCCCUUUGGCCUGGAAUAACACGAGGAAACUUGUGCUAAUACCGGAUAAGUCUUUACGGAGAAAGCUUUAUGCACCAUUGGAUGAGCCUGCACUUGAUUAGUUUGUUGGUGGGGUAAUGGCCUACCAAGACUGUGAUCAAUAGCUGAUUUGAGAGGAUGAUCAGCCACAUUGGGACUGAGACACGGCCCAAACUCCUACGGGAGGCAGCAGUGGGGAAUCUUGCACAAUGGAGGAAACUCUGAUGCAGCGAUGCCGCGUGAGUGAAGAAGGCCUUUGGGUUGUAAAGCUCUUUCGUCGGGGAAGAAAAUGACUGUACCCGAAUAAGAAGGUCCGGCUAACUUCGUGCCAGCAGCCGCGGUAAUACGAAGGGACCUAGCGUAGUUCGGAAUUACUGGGCUUAAAGAGUUCGUAGGUGGUUGAAAAAGUUAGUGGUGAAAUCCCAGAGCUUAACUCUGGAACUGCCAUUAAAACUUUUCAGCUAGAGUAUGAUAGAGGAAAGCAGAAUUUCUAGUGUAGAGGUGAAAUUCGUAGAUAUUAGAAAGAAUACCAAUUGCGAAGGCAGCUUUCUGGAUCAUUACUGACACUGAGGAACGAAAGCAUGGGUAGCGAAGAGGAUUAGAUACCCUCGUAGUCCAUGCCGUAAACGAUGUGUGUUAGACGUUGGAAAUUUAUUUUCAGUGUCGCAGGGAAACCGAUAAACACACCGCCUGGGGAGUACGACCGCAAGGUUAAAACUCAAAUGAAUUGACGGGGACCCGCACAAGUAGUGGAGCAUGUGGUUUAAUUCGAAGAUACGCGCAGAACCUUACCAACACUUGACAUGUUCGUCGCAACUCUAAGAGAUUAGAGUUUUCGGUUCGGCCGGACGAAACACAGGUGCUGCAUGGCUGUCGUCAGCUCGUGUCGUGAGAUGUUGGGUUAAGUCCCGCAACGAGCGCAACCCUCACUUUUAGUUGCCAUCAUUAAGUUGGGCACUCUAAAAGAACUGCCAGUGAUAAGCUGGAGGAAGGUGGGGAUGACGUCAAGUCCUCAUGGCCCUUACGUGUUGGGCUACACACGUGCUACAAUGGUAUCUACAACAGGAAGCAAGACGGCGACGUCAAGCAAAUCCCUAAAAGAUACCUCAGUUCGGAUUGCACUCUGCAACUCGAGUGCAUGAAGCUGGAAUUACUAGUAAUCGUGGAUCAGCGUGCCACGGUGAAUGCGUUCCCGGGUCUUGUACUCACCGCC